CGCAGAAGACACCAAUGGACGCGUUCACCAGCUGCACCCCACACAGCAAAAUCUCCAGGCAGGAGGCGGCCACCAGCAGCGAGAAGAGCGUCACGUUCCAGGAGACCACACCAGGCGGCUCCACGCACGAGCUCCACUGAGUGCGGUUGAGCAGGUACGAGCCUCUGCGGGCGGGGCAGGGUCACGCGAGAGAAGGAGGUCACGCGGAGCGCCCCCCGCCCUCGGGGCUCCCCGCCCCGCGCAGGCGCCGAGGGGGAUAUGCAAAGGACUCGUUCGGCCCACGUGGAGGAAGCUGUCUCGAAGCCGAGUCCCACCUAGGUUUCUCAGUCCACGUGGGAAAGGCAGGUGGGCAGUAGCAGAGAAUGAGGGCGGGGGCGCGAAUACAGGCUGAGCCUUACGCGGUUUGUUGGAAGUGGUAUGCCCAGGAGCCGUCCUUUAAGCACUGUGGUCCAAUUCGGAGCCCGGCUCCCGAUACCGAGAGGCAGUAGAUGGCACCAAGCAUCCCGAACGCCGAGCAGAAGACCGAUCGCAGCAUCUGGAUACACAGUGCGAGGAGAGCGAUUCCCACAGCAGCCUGCACCACAACAGCCUUUGCCCCCUGCCCGGACGGCGGAAAUUCCUGGACACAGUACCUGUGGGAUCAGAGUCGAUGUGAUAGCGAGUCACCCAGGUCCCCAACUUGGAUCAGUGCUUACCCCGUAAUGUGACGAGCAAUAGCUGACUGACACAGACCCCAUGAUCUAGGCCACAGCUGAUUGACCCAAGAAGGAGUAGCCAACCCAAAAGCAGACAUGAAACCAGAGACCUGUGUGGUUGCUUGAGCUGAGACCCCUGGAGACUGAGCUCGCUGCACCCACGCACCCACAGUCGCCCUCCACUGUAUGUUUGUGUCCCAGAGCUGAGCCGUGCUGAUACCCCGGAACCAGGAUGGACAGACACUUCGAGGUCAUCCUGGGGAGUUUGGAGUGGGGUGGAGAAGCCGGUGGAAGUUACGGUACUGGAAGAUGCAUCAGGCCCUGGUUCGUCCUCCGCCCUGUCCUCUUGGCAGCCAACCUCGUGACCUCCUGCCUCCUGCUCGGUCUCCUCUGCCUCCCCUG